GUUCCUGUAGCACAAUGGAUAUCGCAUUGGACUUCUAAUCCAAAGGUCGUGGGUUUGAAUCCCACCUGGUAUA